rnacentral:rRNA from 1 species
UUUUAGUAUUUUAAGUAUUUUUUGGCAUGUGAUUACAAAGUGUAGCUCACUUACACCUUUGAAUGCUGCACCGUGACUUGAAGUUGGAGCUUUUAGUUUUGUUAAUAAAGGGUUUGUUCGGAUAUUUUGUCAGUGGUAUACAAGCAUACAAAAGGUGAGGGGGAUCGUGUGGUGACGUUUACGGAGCGAGCUCCUCAAAUAGUGUGGAAUGCCGCCAAAUCCUUUAGGUUUGGAGAUAAUAGCUGAGACUACCUUCGUUUUAGCAUUAUCAAGUAUAGCAGGGUAUGCUAAUCCUGGUUUA